CGCACGGGUGAGUAACACGUAUCCAACCUGCCGUCUACUCUUGGACAGCCUUCUGAAAGGAAGAUUAAUACAAGAUGGCAUCAUGAGUUCACAUGUUCACAUGAUUAAAGGUAUUCCGGUAGACGAUGGGGAUGCGUUCCAUUAGGUAGUAGGCGGGGUAACGGCCCACCUAGUCUUCGAUGGAUAGGGGUUCUGAGAGGAAGGUCCCCCACAUUGGGACUGAGACACGGUCCAA
rnacentral:rRNA from 1 species